UGGAUGCUUUUUAAAAAAAGUCCUUAAUGUCCUUUUAGGUUUAUAUUUUAUUUUAUUUUUUAAUUUUAUUUAUUUAUCUGACAGAGAGAAAAAGUGAGAGAGCAAGAGUGGAGUGAGGGGCUGAAGGAGAAGCAGACUCCCCAUUGAGCAGGGAGCCCAAUGAAGAGCUCCAUCCUGGAACUCCAGGAUUAUGACCUGAGCUGAAGGUCAUAUGAACAAAGGGAAGAACUUCUAAAGUAAUGGAAUGAGAAUGGGUGGAUUCUGUCAAAUGUAGAUCCAAAUCCUGAUCCUGUCCCUAAUUAGCUAUAGCUGUGUCAUCUGGGGCGCGUCUGUAAUAACAGGAAAGCCACAAAAUAUUUGAAGACUAAAGAGAGAGACCACACUCAGACCUCCAACUAUAGCUCAGAGGGGAAAACAAACUGCCCUCAGAUAUGUGGGAAGACUGACAAGAAUUCUCGUGCAGUCCUCAAAGCAAAUUUCAAUGUUGGAUGGAUUUGGCCCCAAAUAAUCUGAUGUUCAGCUGUUCCGUGGAUACAACAUGGGUUUCUUCGGAGUCUUCUUUCAUGUCAUCUUUGCAUCUUAAAAAGUAUGUCAAGAAUCUUCAAGGUUCUAAUUUUAAAGUGUCUUCAAACAUCAUAAUCACUGUAUUAAGACACAAAAAAAAAAGAGAACAAAGAGUUGAAGAGGCGAUGGGAUUCAAGAGAGCGCUAUUAAUAAUGAAAUUUUUCUUUGCCAGGCCCUGGAAUCUUAAUUUUGCCCCCUUAAUCCAGCAAGUCUGUUAA
rnacentral:lncRNA from 1 species